GACGAACGCUGGCGGCGUGCUUAACACAUGCCAGUCGAACGGAAAGGCCCUGCUUUUGUGGGGUGCUCGAGUGGCGAACGGGUGAGUAACACGUGAGUAACCUGCCCUUGACUUUGGGAUAACUUCAGGAAACUGGGGCUAAUACCGGAUAGGAGCUCCUGCUGCAUGGUGGGGGUUGGAAAGUUUCGGCGGUUGGGGAUGGACUCGCGGCUUAUCAGCUUGUUGGUGGGGUAGUGGCUUACCAAGGCUUUGACGGGUAGCCGGCCUGAGAGGGUGACCGGCCACAUUGGGACUGAGAUACGGCCCAGACUCCUACGGGAGGCAGCAGUGGGGAAUAUUGCACAAUGGGCGGAAACCUGAUGCAGCAACGCCGCGUGCGGGAUGACGGCCUUCGGGUUGUAAACCGCUUUCGCCUGUGACGAAGCGUGAGUGACGGUAAUGGGUAAAGAAGCACCGGCUAACUACGUG
rnacentral:rRNA from 1 species